CCCUACGGGGUGCAGCAGGCGGUCUAUCUGGAAAACGUUCAACAGAAGGCAGACCUAAAGGGCACCUGGAGUAUUACCGGGAUUAUUACGUUUUCCGAAGGAAGCGUUAAGGACGUUCCGAAUGAUAAGCUGUUGGAACUGGGGAAAAAAGCAGUGCGGAAAAUAUCGGCGGAAUUAGGCGUGAAGCCACUUUAUAUUAGCCUGCAUCUUGACGAAAAAACGGCGCCCCUGCACUAUCAGCUGGAGAACUUAAACCGGGAGACCGGAAGGACUGUCGCGAGAACUAUAAAGAAGGGGACGCUGACAAAACUUCAGGAUAUCGCAGGCGAGAUAUUCGGAGAGGUCGGCUUAAGCCGCGGUUUAAGCAGGGAGACUACAGGAAAAAGAUAUAAAACAGGAGCCGAAGGACACCGAGAAGAACUGAAGGCGGGGGAGC
rnacentral:rRNA from 1 species